UCCUUGAGAGUCCUGAAGGAACGUUAAAGACUAUGACGUUGAUAGGUCGGGUGUGUAAGCGUAGCGAUACGUUGAGCUAACCGAUACUAAUGAACCGUGAGGCUUAACCUU
rnacentral:rRNA from 1 species